rnacentral:tRNA from 1 species
GCAGGGGUCCCGUAGUCUGGUCAAUCGGGCUAGCUUCAGAAGCUAGUGGGUUAGUCCCUACGUGAGUUCAAAUCUCACCCUCUGCA